GUCUUUGCCUUGAUCUGAACCAAUCUGUGGGUAGAGCUAGACUCAGAGGAUAUUGUCUCUCAAGUUGGUUUCUGACUGUGAAUAUACAGUAUGAGUCUCAAAUUGAACUUUCUAGUUUUUACCACCAAAUACAGUUAAUUCCUGUCCCACACGACAUUGUUGCAUCUGUUGCCAAGCUGAUGUCUGUGCAUAUCUUAGAGCUUUCUCUAGCAUCACCCUGGUGUGUUGCCAGGUUUGCGAAAUAAGAGAAUGCUACAGUUUGCUUUAAUCCUCUGACUCCUUUCAAAGAAUGCGGCUCAUGAAGGAUUGUUGGGUUUUAACAGGCUCACCCAGGGUAACCAGCUUCUUAAAUCCCUCCAGAAGUGAUAUGUGUCUGUACCCACGAGUUCGUUUGUGUUUUUUUAGUCUUAAGUCUAGCUAAUCUGCACAAAAGUAGAUGGUGGAUGAUCUUGAUGCAACUUUUUCCUCUUCAUUUGUUGGAUAUCAAAAUAAUAAACAAAAGCUCAUCAUUUUUUGAAAAUCAUGGAUUCUUUUCCUUCCACUUCAUCAUUAUGCUAUACUUUGUGAUGGCCUUUCACACCACAUAAAUUAAAAUGCACUGAAAUGCGUGUUUGUAUUAUUUUGGGAGGUAAAAAGGUUAAAAGAAUGAUGAAUCACUUUGCAAAACAUUGCAUGCUUUACUGGAUAUUAAAAAUACAGUCUUUACAUUCUUAAACUUUCUUUAUAACCCUCUACACUUACUUUUGCACUGGACAUGGAAACACAGACAAAUUUCUCCAGUGUGGUGAACAAGGAGAGGGCAUAUUAAUGACCUGUGACAUUGACGGCACACUCAAUCAAGGGCAAAGGCCAGGAGAAAAUAAAGCGUCUGCAAAAAUUUUUACUCCUUUGAUACUUGACUUUGUACUCUUCAAGGAAGACAACAGUUUGUCUACUUUGAAGAAAGAAAGAAAACAUAAACAUGAGCUACUGUCAAUAUAUUUUACUGUGAAUAAAAUAUAAUGUGAAGCCACAGACUUCGACGCUACAAGGAUCGUGUCAAAAGCGAAAAGAUCAGAGGAGGGAAUUCAAAUUGUAUUUCCAAAGGGAUUUUUACUGUGCAAACACGGCUCCUUCAACACUCUUCCUUCCCGGUGUCAUCUUGCCUCGAGCCCAUAAAUCUGCUCCAGAAUCCUCCCAAACAUUGGAGUCACUGUUGCCAUGGAGGCCACCUCAAUAUCAAGUUUCCCUCCUCUCCUAAUAUUGUUACAGGGCGUAUGAACAGCACCAUUUCAUUACGGGCCCCCUAAACCAGAUUAAAGCGGUCCUGCUGUGGAGCAACCGGGGGCCUUAGACAGCUGUUACAGAGGGAAGGACUGGUACAAAAAAGCCAUUUACAUGUUCUGAGAUCCUACUUUAUUAGAUUUCCCCAGAUGUUGUGAUCAUCAACAUAAGGUGUAUCGUGACUCCUGUUCUCCAGUGCAGUAUAAUAGGACUUUAUUUGUAGCUCUGCUACACCUUCAUGUAAAUGAUCAUCUAAAUUAUCAAGCUGUUUUCACGUUGGGUAAAUUGUUACUAACCUUCUGUUAAUCGGCACCCUUUUGCUUGCAAAACAUUUAUAUCAUUUGAACCUUUUUAGCUUUUUUUUUAACAGGACAACCUUAAAUUUAAAGGAUUUUUUUUUCCCAAGUGGAAUGCAUAUUUUAUGCAAUAGACCAACACAGAUUACUGAGACUGGAAGUAGAGAUCCACAUCUCAAGUAGGAGUGUGUUUUGAGAGGGCAGGAGAUUAGCAAAGCACUCCACAGAUCUGUUUAUUGAAGCGUGGCAUGAAGAAAGACAUAGAUGAGAAACAGCUAUAAGAAGUCCGGAUCAGAGUUUGGUAAUCAGCCUUACAGGGAGCAUAGUCAGCAUCUGCAAGGAGAUGUUCAGGCCAGAUAGAUGGAAAAUGGCCCUUUAGACCCUGCAUGCCUUCCAGCAGGACAACAAACCUAAAACCUACAGCCUAGAGGUCUACAAUAAUGGAAUAAUAUAGAUCAAACCAUGUUCAUGUUUAGAGCUUUAAGGAACUCUGAAAUAAACAAAACAUUUACACUGUACUUUUAAGAGAAAACUAAGGUCUAAGUGUCUCCCCACACUUUAAACUUGAUACCUUUUAACUUCUUUCAUAUGUAAGGAUAUUCAUGCAAGAAUGAAGCUCCUACUCUUAAAACGAUCAAGUUACACUGAAGGGUUUUAUGCUCUUUUUUUGUUUGUUUGUUUCUGGGUGGGAGAGGCAAAGAGGCACAGAAAAGCUGCAGCUUGGAACUCCUUUUCUCCAACCACCCUGUAGAAAGAACAAUGGGCAAGCAAAGCUGGAAGGCAUUCCCCAAAAGGCUUAGAGUUGCAAAGAUAUAGUCCUACAAAGUACUGACUCUGCUGGGCUGAAAAAGAUUAUUUGUUAAUGCAGCAGAUUUCAUUAUGUGCAUGAAAGUGCCUCAGUGUGACACACCUCUUAUGACAAGGAUAUCAGGUUUGG